UAGAAUCAUUUGGAUCAUUUCAGACCUGGAAUUGCCAAUCUACUGAACUAAAGGUAAAAGGAGCUGUUAACUUGAAAACUACCACUUCAUGACAUCACAAGGUGGAACAGAGCAGUUUGAGCUUUGGAGAUGUAGACAGACUAAUAAUAACGGGUUACUUAACAUGUCAAUGAAACACAACUCCAGGUAUGUUUUUGAGGAGGUAACAGCAUUAGAACUUAGAGCUUACAGGAAUCAGUUUUGUGUAAUAUUGGAACUUUAAAGUUACACUAAGUAUCUUUUCUGGUGCAGGGUCUUCCAUCCACUUGUCUGUUUCUCCAUUGGUAUGUUUUAUGGGCGUUUUAUUUUUCAAAAAUACCUUUUAAACAUGCAUUCUUACUAUGAGAAGGCUUGCCUCAACACAGAUCUGCUCUGAGCUGUGGUUUGGUGGCAUCAUCUGCUUGUUUCCAUGGAGACAGACAACUUCAGUGCCAUACUGUGGAACAUUCAAAGUAACAAGAUCUCCAGUGAGACAAGCCUCCAGCAAAGUUGAAUAGCAUCUUUAAGUAGUUUUUCAGUGAAUCCCAAGUCAAAAUGAAACAUUUGUCUCAAAAAAAUCCAUUAGACUUCACCAUUAUUACUAUUGUUCUAUAUUAUUUCAUGUUUGAGGUUGUGGCCAUGGCAACAAUAACUUUGCAGUACAUUGUCCAGCUCUAAUCUGAAUCCAAAAACAACACGGACCUUCAAAGACGUUUUAAAGCUGUAUGUAUGAGUUUUUGUGAUUUGAUGAGAUUUUUAUCCAGAGGAGUUUGUGACUGUUUAUAGAGAACUGUGGUUCCAAAUUGAAAUGGGAAUGACACCAGAUUCCUGUUUUAUGUUGUCUUUUUAAACCAAAACACAGAGCCUUAACAACCAAGUGUAAUUUUGAAGCAUCUGCACCAUUUACUCGUUUAAUGUGAUCCACUCUGAUUCUUGACCCCAGACUCUGUGUCUGUUCAUUUGUUUUGUCCCUUUUUCUAAAGUGUGGGUUGUUUUACUGAAGGUGAUUUUUAUUUUCUUGUCUAAAGCUGCUGAGCCUCAGGAUUUGACUGUGAACUUGUACAACCUCAGCUGGAAAAGGCUAUUUAAGGUUUUAUACUGUUUUUAAACCUAUGGAGACUGAAUGAGACUUUGAAUAAAUGUUUUUCACAUAA